rnacentral:rRNA from 1 species
GACGAACGCUGGCGGCGUGCCUAAUACAUGCAAGUCGAACGCUUUUUCUUUCACCGGAGCUUGCUCCAUCGAAAGAAAAAGAGUGGCGAGCGGGUGAGUAACACGUGGGUAACCUGCCCAUCAGAAGGGGAUAACACUUGGAAACAGGUGCUAAUACCGUAUAACACUAUUUUCCGCAUGGAAGAAAGUUGAAAGGCGCUUUUGCGUCACUGAUGGAUGGACCCGCGGUGCAUUAGCUAGUUGGUGAGGUAACGGCUCACCAAGGCCACGAUGCAUAGCCGACCUGAGAGGGUGAUCGGCCACACUGGGACUGAGACACGGCCCAGACUCCUACGGGAGGCAGCAGUAGGGAAUCUUCGGCAAUGGACGAAAGUCUGACCGAGCAACGCCGCGUGAGUGAAGAAGGUUUUCGGAUCGUAAAACUCUGUUGUUAGAGAAGAACAAGGAUGAGAGUAGAACGUUCAUCCCUUGACGGUAUCUAACCAGAAAGCCACGGCUAACUACGUGCCAGCAGCCGCGGUAAUACGUAGGUGGCAAGCGUUGUCCGGAUUUAUUGGGCGUAAAGCGAGCGCAGGCGGUUUCUUAAGUCUGAUGUGAAAGCCCCCGGCUCAACCGGGGAGGGUCAUUGGAAACUGGGAGACUUGAGUGCAGAAGAGGAGAGUGGAAUUCCAUGUGUAGCGGUGAAAUGCGUAGAUAUAUGGAGGAACACCAGUGGCGAAGGCGGCUCUCUGGUC